GGGAAGGGUAAGGCAGUGUUCAUUGGGGUUUUGAGGAGGUGUGGGGGGCGGGGGAGGUUGGAAGGGGGUGGAAAUGUGUUUUCUUCCCCUUGUGAUGCGAUUCUUAUCUGUAAUUCAAGCAAUCCAACAUCUGGGUGAAGAAGGGGAGGAGAGGAAAGAAAGCAAGAAUGAAGGAAGGGCGGGAGAAGAGAAGAAAAAGGGAAUAAAACAAGGGAGGAGAGGAAAGAAAGCAAGAAAAGAGGAAGGGAGGGAAAAGAGAAGAAAAAAAAGAUGACAGGGGUGAAGAGAAGAAGGACGAAAGAAAACUUGUAGGGAGAAAGGAAGGAAGAAGAAAAAGCAUAAGAUAGGGAUGAAGAGAAGAAGAAGAAAAGAAAGGAGAGGAAAGACAGUCAGCAUGAAGGAAGGGAUGGAGAAGAAAGAAAAAAAAUGAAUGAGACUGGAGACAAGGAAAAGAAGAAAAGGAAUAAUGAAGAGAAGAAAAACCAUAAAACUUGAGAUGAAGAGACGAAGACAGGAAGGAGAGGCAAACAAGGAAGUAAAGAUGAAGAAAGGGAGAAGAGAAGAAAAAUAAUGAGACUGGAGACAAGGAGAAGAAGAAAAGGAAUAAUGAAGAGAAGAAAAACCAUAAAACUUGAGAUGAAGAGACGAAGACAGGAAGGAGAGGCAAACAAGGAAGAAAAGAUGAAGAAAGGGAGAAGAGAAGAAAAAUAAUGAGACUGGAGACGAAGAGAGAGGAAAGUAAAGAGCGAAGGAGAAGGGCAAGACAAGGAUGGACUCAAGAAGAUGGGAGGGAGGGAGGGAACGGAGGGAUGGAGGGAAAGGAGAGGAGGGAGGAAGAGAUAAUCUUGCGUAUACAACUUGACCAAUUAUCUUUCUCCUGAAUUACGCGAAGCGACUCAUUAACUUCUGCUUAAGCAAUUAUGUGUAACUGUGCUUGUUUGUGUGAAAGUGUGAGUUUAAGGGGGUGUUUUUUUGAGUUGUGUGUGUGUGUGUGUGUGUGUGUGUGUGUGUGUGUGUGUGUGUGUGUGUGUGUGUCAUUCUUUUUCUUCUCUCUUAUUCUCCCUCCUUGCCUCCCUUCUUGGUUGCUGUCAUUUCCUCUCCUUCCUUUCUUCUUUUUCAUCAUCCCUCUCUCAUUCUUCUCUUCUCCUUCCCUCCUUCCUCCCUUCUUGCUUUCUUUCCUCUCUUCCCUUUCUUCAUCAUUAUCCCUCUCAUUAUUUUUCUUCUCUUCUUCCUCUCUUCCUCUUGCGUGUGUUUGGGGGUGUUGCGGGUUUAAUUUAUGUAUGUUGCGUGUGUCCGUGUGUGUGUUGCGUGUGUCCGCGGGGGUGUUGCGGGUGUAGUGUUGCAGGGAGGCUGUGUACUGUGUGUCGGGAGAGAGUUGCGGGAGGUAGCGGACCACAGCCACAGACCUCACCUGAUCCACGCCGACCACAGCAUAGAUUCUCACAGCUCCACGCCUCCUCCUCCUCCUCCUCCUCCUCGUCUUCUUCAGCACUCAGGUCACAUAUUAGAAACCGCAUUACGAACGAUGACGAGGUUGUUGUUUGAGAUAGAAGGAAAAUAUACUGGUUUUCUAUUGAUUGGCAGAUUGCUUGCUUGACUGAUUGAUUGACUGACCGAAUGACUGAGCGACUGACUGACUGACUAAUGGAACGAGCUGGUACUGGCUGACUUACAAACUUACCGUACUACUAACUUAUUGACUGACUGACUGACUGACUGACUGACGAACUGACUGACUGACUGGAACUAAUGGAUUGAGCUGGCUUACUUACCAACUCACUGCCUUGUUGACUGACGAACUGAAUGAUUUAUGUAUUAAUUAACUGACUAACUGCUUGCUCUACUGACUGACUGACCAAUUAACCAACAAACUAACAAACCUACAAAUUUUUAACCAAGUGACAAUAACCAAAUAACUAGCAAUAGAAAUACACACACAAAAAAAAUCACGAGACAGUCUAACACACACACACACACACACACACACACACACACACACACACACACACACACACACACACACACACACACACACACAUACACACAGAAGCUCGGGACACCUGGAUUCAUGACUCACACUCACCUUGCCACUGGUUCUCCCACGCUUACCUGUGUAUACCUGGAGGCUAAGGUGGUGCUGCUUGAGCCUCCUCCUCCUCCUCCUCCUGCGUCGCCGUCUCCUCUUUCCUCUUCAAUUUCUACUUGUUUUUCUUCUUCCCCUCCUCAUUCUUAUUUUCGUGUCUUAUAUCUUUCAUACUUGUUCCUGCUUUCCAUUUUCUCUCAUACUCUCUUUUUUUGGGGUCAAUAUCUCCUUCCUUUCCUAUCACCUCCAUCAUCAUCAUCACAUCUUCCUUUUUUCACCUAUCCAGUGCAUCCUUCCCUCUUCCUCUUCUCCCCAUCUUCACGUUUUAUUGUCACGUCUCCUUCUUUUACAUCGCUUUCCUGCUUCUCUUCCCUCUCCUCCUCCUCCUCUUCCUUCUCCUCUUCUUCCUCUUCCUCUCUUUCUCCAACACGAAGUAACGUUAGCGCCCACAGACCGGGUAAGAAAACACUACAACGCACGACGCUGGCAAUCAUAGAACGUAAGAAGCGAACGCAAUUUUUAGUGAAGGUUUUUAUUUGAACUCCGACGUUGCAUAAAGGUGAUUGAAGUUAGUUAGUUAGUUAGGUUAGUUUAGCUGGUUAGUUUGGUUCGUUAUGUUAGUUAGGUAGGUUGUUAGGUUAGGUUAGGUUAGUUAGUUAGGUUAGGUUAGUGAUAGUUAUUUAGCUAGUCAGUUUUUUAGUUAGGUAGGUUAGUUAAUUAGUAUUUUCUCAAGUGUGUUAGGUAGUUAGAUAGUUUGUUAGUUUCGUAUAUAGAAAAACAGAGAUAGAAAGAGAGAUGAUUAAUUGCAAAACACAUUAGCUGACUUACAUAACUAACCAGCCAGCCACCUGCUAAUGACCCGGCGGUGACCAAAAAACAAAAAAGGAAAGAAAAAUGUAACAAAAUCCUUUCCCCAUCCUCCCCUCUGAAUGAAUCCUGUUUCAACCCAACCUGAACUCCGAGACCGCAGCCUGAUUGUAGGAGAUCGAAUCGUCUUGUUCUGCAUGCAAUAAGCUGCCCAGUGCAUUCUGAUCCUUCUUCGGGGAACUUGAAACCUCCUGCAUGCCAGCUCGGGGAAGUUUAAAGUUUAUCGCUGCUUACGCUAGAGGGCUUCCCUGAGGUGGUGCUGUUUCGUUUUGCUCAUUGUUUCGUAUUCUUUUUUUUCAAUCGGUUUUUAUCUCAUUAAUCGUGGUUCUUUCCUUUAUUUUUUUGGUCUGGUUAAGUUUUCUGGGAAUUUAUGGUGAGAAUGAUUAUUUUAUCGAGUUUGAUCUGUUAUUUGUAGUUCUUUUCCUAUUUUUUUCUUGCAUGUUAAAGUUUGAGAUGUUUACAGGUGUGAGAGGAGUUUGUAGUAUCGGUUCUCUUCCUUGUAUUUUUCUGGCUUAGUUUAGGAUUUUGUUCAUUUUUUGAGUAUACUGACCCUUUUAUCGAUUUUCACUUCGGUAAUAGGGAUUUAAAUUCUUCUUUUUCUUGUAAUAUAAUAAAGGUUUCAAGGAAUUUAUGGGGAGUUACGAAUCUUUUAUCGUUUCAGAUUUCUGUAAUCGUUGUUUUAUUCCUUAUUUUGUUACGUUUUAAGAAUGCUGAUCCUUUUAUCGACUUUCACUUCGGCUAUAAAGGUUUGAAUCCUCCUUUUUCUUGUAAUACGAUAAAGGUCUCAGAGUAUUCGUGCAAGUUACGUAUCUUUUAUCGUUUCUCAUCUCCGUCAACGUGAUUUUAGUCUCCAUUUUUCACGUCUGGCCAAAUGAUCGGGUAUGUUUGAGAGGGUUAAGGAUUUUAGUGAAAUUUAAGUCUGCCCUCACGGCGUGGCGCAAGGCGGGAAACGAAGCACUGGAAAGAAAGAGAAAGUCGACGAGUGAGUGAGUGAGCGAGUGAGUGAGAAGGAGAGACUUUAAAGACUUGCUCCUCGCUCUUAAACUGGCUGUGUGUACGUAUGUGUGUGUAGGCGUGAGGGAUACACACACACACACACACACACACACACACACGGACUUACAUGGAACUGAGAAGAAACUUUGGACGUGGCCUAGUUUGAAUGAUAAGAAACAGGAUCUUGUGAGAACGUGGACUUGUUGCACCCAAAAGAGGAACACGUGAUGGAUGGUGAGAAUUUGUCGAUGUUGUUGUUGAUGCUAUUGUUGAUGUUGCUGUUGUUUUCUAUGAGUUCAACGCACAGAACCUCCUUUCUCAUGUGAUCCCUUAAAUGACAUAACCGAAAAAAGAAGAGAUUGAAAAAUAAAGUAAAUAAAAGUAAUUUUGUUAGUUAGCUUUAUGUACAGAUAGAUAGAUAGGUAGAAAGAGAAAGAGAGAGAUGAUUAAUUGCAGGCUACUUUCUGACCCGAAUGUAAAGAAGAAAAUAUUUAAACAAAGAAAAAGUAAUAUAAAAGUGUAUAGAAAAGACGCAUUUGUACCAGAACGAAACGAAAAAAAAGGAAAAUAAAAUAAAAGGAGAAGAAACACCCGAACGAAAAGAAGGGAAAAAAAUAAACAAAGAAAGAAUAGGAGAAAAAUGUACUACAGGAAAGAGAUGGAAUUAUAUGCCAGAACGAAAAAAAAAAAAAAAUGAAGAAAUCCGCUUGUCAAUAGUUUCCUGUUUACGAAAUAUAUUCACUAAAAAAAAAAAAAGUGAGACUUCGUAGUUUUUGCUGCAGGAGAAACCAGCCGAGAAAACAUCCUUAAAUUUGGUAUACGUAGUAAGGAUGUUUUCUCUCUCUCUCUCUCUCUCUCUCUCUCUCUCUCUCUCUCUCUCUCUCUCUCUCUCUCUCUCUCUCUACACAAAUGGCUCCUUAUUUGCAUUAUUUACCUCCCUCCUUCAUUUUCUCCAUUAAUUACUCGCCAAGUCACUAAAUUAGACGCUUGUUAGGUAGGAAGCUAGAAGGUAAGUCAGGUAGUUAGUUGGUUAAUUAGUUUAUCAGUUAAGUUCUCAGGUGGAAAGGUAAAGGUAGUUAAUGAAUAGCUAAUUACCUAUUUUUGCCUCACCUGAAACUGCCGUAAAUAUAAAAAAAAUAGCGUUAAAUACUUUACUAGUUAACCUUUUAGGCGAGGAAGUAGAUACGAUAAGGCAUAGGCGGUUAAUAAAUAGUCAGUCAGCUACCUUUUAAUUAGGUGUUAGGUAAGCAGGUGUGUCGGCAGGUGCGGGAAGGCAAAGGUAGCUAAUGAAUUGCCGAUCAGUGACAUUUUAAUUAGUUGUUAGGUAAUCAGGUGUGUCGGCAAAGAAAGGAAGGUAAAGUUAGAUAAUAAACAGUAGUAGUUAUUAGGUAAGCAGAUAUUUGGGCCAACAUAGGAAGGUAAAGUUAGAUAAUGAGUAGUUAAAAAAAAUAAUUAGUGUAGAAAACUUAAGGUAGUUAAUUAAUGUUUAGUUAUUAGGGAUGUAGAUGUGUCAGUAAACAUAGGAGGGUAAAUAUGAUAAGAAAUAAUAAAUAGUUAGGUUAGGUUAGGUUAGGUGAAGGUAAAGGUAGAUAAUUAAUAGUUGACAGGUAAAUAUGUGUAUGGGGAGGAUUUUUUUUUUUUACAGUAAAGGAGACAGUUCAAGGGCGUAAAAAAAAAGAAAAUAAUAAAAAAAAAAGCCCGCUACUUACUGCUCCUGAAUAGAGUACUGAGGAGUGGCCAAAAAGAGAGGAGAAUAGUAAAGAUAGAUAAUUAAAGGUUAGUUACUAGUUAUUAGGUAAGUCAGUGUGCUUACAAUCAUAGUAAGGCAAAGGCAGGUCAUCCAUAGUUAGUUGGUAGGUAAGUACGUAGGUAAGUAAGAUAGGUAAGUAAGUAGGCAAAGGCAGGUCAUCCAUAGUUAGUUGGUAGGUAAGUACGUAGGUAAGUAAGAUAGGUAAGUAAGUAGGCAAAGGCAGGUCAUCCAUAGUUAGUUGAUAGGUAAGUAUAUGCGCAGGUAAACAAAUGAAGGUAAAGUUUAACAGCCAUGGAGUUACCUAUCAUUGCCUGAGUGGGACGUGCGGUGAAUAUCUUUAAGGUUCACCCACACCGCCGCGAUGGGAUGACCUUCGGUGGCCCAUUCUUCCCUCUGGCACGUGAUUCAACCCUUACACGUGGACAGAGGGAGGGAGGAGUGGAGGAGAUGUGGUGGGUAGACGACUGAUAGGGUGGAAGGUAAAAGAUGGAGCGUUGGUGGAUGGUUAAGGUGGAUGGAUGGAAGGGUAUGACGGGAGAAAGUGGUUGUGGAGGAGGAGGAAGUGGUGGAAGUGGAGGAAACAGAGGGGAAGAAGGUGAGAAAGGUUGAAGAGUGACAAUAAAUGGAGGAAAGAGUAAAAAAAAGGUAAAGGAGACGAAAUGAAAAAUAAAACAAAGGAAGGAAGAGGAGGAGAAGGAGGAAACAGGGGUGAAAGAGGUGAGGGAAGGAGUGGAGGUGGAAGAGGGAAAAGUGGUGGUGGAAGACUAAAAAAACGGCAAACAAGGCGAAAUGAAAACAAAAACAAAACAAGGAAAGAAGGAGGAGGAGAAGGAGGAAACAGGAGUGAAGGAGGUGAAGGAAGGAAGGGAUGUGUUGGUGAAAGAGGAGAAAAAUGAACAAGAAAUGGAAGAAGGAAUUAAAAUAAGCAACAAGAAGAAAUGAAAACAAA